AUACGGAGGAUCCAAGCGUUAUCCGGAAUCAUUGGGUUUAAAGGGUCCGUAGGCGGGUUUGUAAGUCAGUGGUGAAAGUUUUCGGCUCAACCGGAAAAUUGCCAUUGAUACUGCAAGUCUUGAAUCAUGAUGAAGUGGUUAGAAUGUGUAGUGUAGCGGUGAAAUGCAUAGAUAUUACACAGAAUACCGAUUGCGAAGGCAGAUCACUAAUAAUGUAUUGACGCUAAGGGACGAAAGCGUGGGUAGCGAACAGAAUUAGAAACCCUAGUAGUCC
rnacentral:rRNA from 1 species